rnacentral:rRNA from 1 species
UACGGAGGGUGCAAGCGUUAUCCGGAUUCACUGGGCUUAAAGGGUGCGUAGGAGGACUGGUAAGUCAGUGGUGAAAUCCCCGAGCUUAACUUGGGAACUGCCGUUGAUACUAUCAGUCUUGAAUACCGUGGAGGUGAGCGGAAUAUGUCAUGUAGCGGUGAAAUGCUUAGACAUGACAUAGAACACCAAUUGCGAAGGCAGCUCGCUACACGAAUAUUGACUCUGAGGCACGAAAGCGUGGGGAUCAAACAGG